GCCAGGCACAGUGGCUUAUACCUGUAAUCCCAGCACUUUGGGAGGCCAAGGCGGGCAGAUCACGAGGUCAGGAGUUUGAGACCAGCCAGGCCAAUAUGGUGAAACUGCAUCUCUACAAAAAAUACAAAAAUUAGCCAGGCGUGGUGGCACAUGCCUGUAGUUUCAGCUACUUGGGAGGCUGAGGCAGAAGAAUCUCUUGAACCUGGCUAAUUUUUGUAUUUGUAGUAGAGAUGUGGUUUCACCGUGUUGGCCAAGCUGGUCUUGAACUCCUGACCUCAUGAUUCGCCUGCCUC
ensembl:misc_RNA Metazoa_SRP Metazoan signal recognition particle RNA